UCACAGGCAGUGCAAUAAAUCUACGCCGUAGCAGUGGUCUACAGUUGCUAUAUAAAGGGUACGAUUCGGAGUCAAAUAUCAUCAGUCAGGCAGGGAAAGCGCUGAGCUAUACGCACUGAUCUGUCGGGUCAGUUGUCGGGGAAUAUAAGCCAUGCUGCGUGCUCUGGUGGUGCUGGUGGCGCUGGUGCUGGCGGUGGUGACCGUCGGCUGGGGAGACCCGAGCCCUGGACGCCGCCGAACCACCACCACCACCACGGCGGCCACGACCACCACCACACAGGACACGGCCGCCCAGUUCCGCGCUGCUGUCGACGCGUGGAGCGCCAGACAGCUGCGCCGACGUGGCUGAGCUGCACCGGCCUCACAUGCCACGCAGGCAAUCCUUGAUUGGAUUUGUACGUCUUAUGCUUAUGAUAAAUGAAAGAAGGGUUCUUAGGUAUUGUUCGUCCUGCCUAUGCAUUACCAAAAGCAUAUGUACUGAAUUCGUAAAAGAAUAAACGGAAUCUCAGGAACAGGCCAUUAGG